rnacentral:rRNA from 1 species
ACUACAUGGUAGAUAGGCCGGGUGUGUAAGUGCAGUAAUGCACUCAGCUGACCGGUACUAAUAGGUCGAGGGCUUGACCA